AGCGAACGCUGGCGGCAGGCUUAACACAUGCAAGUCGAGCGGGCAUCCUUGUGGUGUCAGCGGCAGACGGGUGAGUAACGCGUGGGAACGUGCCCUUCGGUUCGGAAUAACUCAGGGAAACUUGAGCUAAUACCGGAUACGUGCGAGAGCAGAAAGGUUUAUCUGCCGAAGGAUCGGCGCGCGUCUGAUUAGCUAGUUGGUGAGGUUACGGCUCACCAAGGCGACGAUCAGUAGCUGGUCUGAGAGGAUGGUCAGCCACACUGGGACUGAGACACGGCCCAGACUCCUACGGGAGGCAGCAGUGGGGAAUAUUGGACAAUGGGGGCAACCCUGAUCCAGCCAGGCCGCGUGAGUGAUGACGGCCUUAGGGUUGUAAAGCUCUUUUCUCCGGGACGAUAAUGACGGUACCGGAGGAAUAAGCCCCGGCUAACUUCGUG
rnacentral:rRNA from 1 species